GACUGGCUCCGGGCCCCUCUGGCGGUCCACUUGGUACGGACCGCGAUGUCGGAGCCCUUCA
rfam:Azospirillum brasilense Sp245 plasmid AZOBR_p2 complete genome